GACGAACGCUGGCGGCGUGCUUAACACAUGCAAGUCGAACGGAAAGGCCCUGCUUUUGUGGGGUGCUCGAGUGGCGAACGGGUGAGUAACACGUGAGUAACCUGCCCUUGACUUUGGGAUAACUUCAGGAAACUGGGGCUAAUACCGGAUAGGAGCUCCUGCUGCAUGGUGGGGGUUGGAAAGUUUCGGCGGUUGGGGAUGGACUCGCGGCUUAUCAGCUUGUUGGUGGGGUAGUGGCUUACCAAGGCUUUGACGGGUAGCCGGCCGGAGAGGGUGAACGGCCAGCUACAGUGGGACUGAGACACGGCCCAAACUCGGACGGGAGGCGGGAGGAGGGAAGCAUGCGGGAGGGGCGAAAGACGGACGAACCCAGGCGGCGGGAAGGAGGAAUUUGGGUGGAAAGCAGAUUUCGUUUGUCGGGGACGAUAAUGACGGUAACCGGAGAAGAAGCCCCGGCUAACUUCGUG
rnacentral:rRNA from 1 species